CGGCGGUACGCAACCCUUUGCACGCCUCCUAAGAGACGGGGUGCUUCCAUGCAAGGUGGUCAUCACCUCCACACAUGCACUACCUCAACAUCCCAGGGGGCUCUUAUAGCGAAAGCUCUCACACUCUCAACACUCAAUAGUCAACUAAAGUACACGGUGAGCGGUGUGGGUGCAUUCGAAAACCCUAUGAAUCUAGAGUAGAAGAUGAAACACACUGGCCACACAAAUAUCCUGAAAUCUAGCUCCG
rnacentral:lncRNA from 1 species